rnacentral:rRNA from 1 species
UGGCGAACGGGUGAGUAACGCGUGAGUAACCUGCCCUAGAGUGGGGGACAACAGUUGGAAACGACUGCUAAUACCGCAUAAGCCCACGGUGCCGCAUGACACUGAGGGAAAAGGAUUUAUUCGCUUUAGGAUGGACUCGCGUCCAAUUAGCUAGUUGGUGAGGUAACGGCCCACCAAGGCGACGAUUGGUAGCCGGACUGAGAGGUUGAACGGCCACAUUGGGACUGAGACACGGCCCAG